rnacentral:lncRNA from 1 species
CACGUAGAGUGUAGUCCUCCUGGACAGAAAGGCGCGUCGCCAUCUCCUGGCCGGCACUAUUACUGCACGUCCAUUUUCUAGAAAAUUCCUGGCAUCUGGGUUCUAUGUAAACGUAAGAACUUUUCCUUUACUGUGAGUUAGCAAUCCGGAUGUGUUUUGUGGAAGAUUAUGCCCUAAGCCCUUAGAAGGGAGGACACUGAGUUUGGGAAAAGUCACUACCUCUGGGCUUCAUUUUUUGCCCUAAGGCAAUGAGGUUAUCCUGAUGCUGAGGAAUCUAUGGCAAAUUUUCCUUUCUCCCUCAAACUAUCCUGUCAACCUUUUCAUAUUAGAAGGCAGAGAAUGGAAAAUACACAUACACAUUCUCCUUUAAAAAAAAAAAAUACAAGGAGCCUUGAGAAAUGGACAUGAUCCGUGUAUUUCUUGACCUCUGAGAUACCAUGGCUAAUCCCAACCAACCUGCAGAAAUACUGCUUCUGGAAGUUCCAUUUGCCUCCAUUCUGAGUGCUUAUUAACCCUGAAACUUUUGUCAGCUCAGGAAAAAGCAAAAGGUUCUAAACUAACUGGCUGCGCAGUGGAACACCCUUGUUCACCUCCUCACUGGGCUCCUGGGCCUCCAACUCCUGCCCUUCAGGUUCUAGGUACCAUGGACUAAAUCUUCAAGCAUUAAGAAACAGCAUUCAUUCCCACUCAUUUCCACACCAGCCUUUGAUUCGAUGCAGAUACAUAUUAUAGUAGCAUGCCUUACCUACAGCAUUAUGUGUAUUUGCUGUCACAAUAAAGUAUAUCUUGUCUUGCAAAUUAAAAACACACACACGGCUGGGCGUGGUGGCUCAUGCCUGUAAUCCCAGAACUUUGGGAGGCU